UUAAUUAAUUUAACAAAAACUUUAACAUUUAAAGUACAUAUGUGGUGGAGUACUAUCUACAGUAAUAAUAGGCGUUGCCCAAGAAAGAAUCGAGCAACGCUAAUAGCCUUUUGGUCGAACAGGCUUGCUCCUAACCUCCUCUAGAUUUGCUUUUUCUUCUUCUAAGAUUAGGUAUGUGUCUUUGAAUCGCCGAGGAGAUAUAGCUUCAUCAGUUGAUCCGAAGAAAAGAACCCCGAGGGUUCAAGUCUCGGUAACCCAUCCUAAACCAUCGCCUCCCUCUCUGGCCAAAAGAGAACAAGAUGCUAUAAGGGCUCUUUCUCUUCUUUCUCUAUUUUCGCCUCCACUACGGUGCGCGAUUCUUGGAUCCAUAAGGGCUUUGCUUUUCAUCCCCUCUUGUUGGGUAUUGUUAUGCUUCUAGUUUGCUUAGAUUCUAAAGGUCAAUAAACAGCUCUGCGGGCUCUACUAAUGCUUGAAGAGCUGUUUAAUUCUGUGUAUGAACUUCUUGCUGACGUCCCAAUCUUAGGUGUAGAAGAAAAGUGGUGCAAGCUUACCAUCCUUGGUCUUCAUUGUGCCUGAUCUAGGAUUCCUCAAUUGUAGGCCUUGGGCUUUGUUUAGUGUUUGUGGGUUUUAGGCCUAUUAAAUGUGUUUUCUGCAAUAUUUGAUUGGAGUGGAGGUUUUGAUUUAACUGUA